rnacentral:rRNA from 1 species
ACACAUGCAAGUCGAGGGGCAGCAUGAACUUAGCUUGCUAAGUUUGAUGGCGACCGGCGCACGGGUGAGUAACACGUAUCCAACCUGCCGAUGACUCGGGGAUAGCCUUUCGAAAGAAAGAUUAAUACCCGAUGGCAUAGUUCUUCCGCAUGGUAGAACUAUUAAAGAAUUUCGGUCAUCGAUGGGGAUGCGUUCCAUUAGGUUGUUGGCGGGGUAACGGCCCACCAAGCCUUCGAUGGAUAGGGGUUCUGAGAGGAAGGUCCCCCACAUUGGAACUGAGACACGGUCCAAACUCCUACGGGAGGCAGCAGUGAGGAAUAUUGGUCAAUGGACGAGAGUCUGAACCAGCCAAGUAGCGUGAAGGAUGACUGCCCUAUGGGUUGUAAACUUCUUUUAUACGGGAAUAAAGUGAGGCACGUGUGCCUUUUUGUAUGUACCGUAUGAAUAAGGAUCGGCUAACUCCGUGCCAGCAGCCGCGGUAAUACGGAGGAUCCGAGCGUUAUCCGGAUUUAUUGGGUUUAAAGGGAGCGUAGGCGGACGCUUAAGUCGGUUGUGAAAGUUUGCGGCUCAACCGUAAAAUUGCAGUUGAUACUGGGUGUCUUGAGUACAGUAGAGGCAGGCGGAAUUCGUGGUGUAGCGGUGAAAUGCUUAGAUAUCACGAAGAACUCCGAUUGCGAAGGCAGCCUGCUGGACUGUAACUGACGCUGAUGCUCGAAAGUGUGGGUAUCAAACAGGAUUAGAUACCCUGGUAGUCCACACAGUAAACGAUGAAUACUCGCUGUUUGCGAUAUACAGUAAGCGGCCAAGCGAAAGCGUUAAGUAUUCCACCUG